CACAGCUCGAAAGCCCGGAACGUUGAGGUUUCCAAAGCUGGAGUCUCGUGGUCUCAACGGUCUCCAGGGGACACCCCAGACAUUGAUUUCGUAGCUCUUAAUAAAAAAUAUCUCCUGGAGCAUCAGUUCUAGUUAAGGUAGAAAACACCACCACCUUGCUAAAUCUUGUUGUGCUGGGGAUCAAAGCAAGACAAGAGAACUGUUUAGUGAACCGUGAAAUCCCAGAACAGAUGCCAGAUGGAUGUUGCUAUUGCUCGAGAGUCCAUUAAUUUGCUAAGAAAGUUGAGUGCUGUGCUCUUCACCUGUGUCUGCCACCUAUUUAUAUAAUAGUGACUUCACUCUGUGGUGCUCCGUCACCUCUCCUGGAAAACGACAGAUUGCCCUUUGAUACCUACUAAGAGGGCAUGUGGACCAAUGGAACUCGGAUCCUAGAGUUUAUGGAUCUUACCCCUCAAAGUCCCAAUUCGGUAGGUCUGGCAUUGGGACUAGAAGUUGCGAUUACCUUUCUAGCUCUAACUUUCUAAAAUUCUAGGAAGGGGAACUUAAAAUAAGAAUUCAGUAAAAAGAAAAAGAAAGAAAAAGAAAAAUUGUCUUCAGAAAGAAAUAUAAUCAGGUCCCACUUAAUAUUCACAUCUGCUUUGCCAACAGCAUCAUCUGUUGAGGCCUUGAGAUAGGCAAGCCUUUUGUUUUUGUUUUUGUUUUUCCCUAUACUUCUGAGGUUCUUGAGGCAACUUAGAGUGAAAAUUCACCCCUUAGAAGGUUUUAAAAGCCUGGAGGAGAGCACAUGAGCCAAGGGAUGGAGGGAGAAGAGAGGAUAGAUGAGGCAGUUGAGCUCUAAUUGAAUUCACCCUCCCGGGCAACUAAAACAAAAAAGUCAAAAAGUUGUGCCAGGCCUUCGAGCAAACACCACACCGCUGAAGCUCCCAAACGCGGGGCAGCUGGGUAGUGCCACACUGCUUGGAAGCGUUGCCUGGUUGCCUUAGAAACGCACACACGCACACGCGCACACGCACACAC